rnacentral:rRNA from 1 species
GACGAACGCUGGCGGCGUGCCUAAUACAUGCAAGUUGAGCGCUGAAGGUUGGUACUUGUACCAACUGGAUGAGCAGCGAACGGGUGAGUAACGCGUGGGGAAUCUGCCUUUGAGCGGGGGACAACAUUUGGAAACGAAUGCUAAUACCGCAUAAAAACUUUAAACACAAGUUUUAAGUUUGAAAGAUGCAAUUGCAUCACUCAAAGAUGAUCCCGCGUUGUAUUAGCUAGUUGGUGAGGUAAAGGCCCACCAAGGCGAUGAUACAUAGCCGACCUGAGAGGGUGUUCCGCCCCAUUGAGACUGAGACACGGCCCAAACUCCUCCGGGAGGCAGCAGUAGGGAAUCUUCGGCUAUGGACGAAAGUCUGACCGAGUAACGCCGCGUGAGUGAAGAAUGUUUUCGGCUCGUAAAACUCUGUUGGUAGAGAAGAACGUUGGUGAGAGUGGAAAGCUCAUCAAGUGACGGUAACUACGCAGAAAGGGACGGCUAACUACGUG